rnacentral:rRNA from 1 species
CCCUUAGAUGUUCUGGGCUGCACGCGCGCUACACUGAUGCGCUCAACGAGUUUACGAACUUGCCCGAGAGGCCUGGGCAAUCUUUUAAACCUGCAUCGUGAUAGGGAUAGAUUAUUGCAAUUAUUAAUCUUGAACGAGGAAUUCCUAGUAAACGCAAAUCAUCAAUUUGCAUUGAUUACGUCCCUGCCCUUUGUACACACCGCCCGUCGCACCUACCGAUUGAAUGGUCCGGUGAAAUCUCGGGAUUGUGGCCAGUUCACUUUAUUGGGAGUUGGCUGCGAGAACUUGCUUAAACCUUAUCAUUUAGAGGAAGGUGAAGUCGUAACA